rnacentral:rRNA from 1 species
AUGAACGCUGGCGGCGUGCUUAACACAUGCAAGUCGAACGAUGAAGCCCAGCUUGCUGGGUGGAUUAGUGGCGAACGGGUGAGUAACACGUGAGUAACCUGCCCUUAACUCUGGGAUAAGCCUGGGAAAAUGGGUCUAAUACCGGAUAGGAGCGUCCACCGCAUGGUGGGUGUUGGAAAGAUUUAUCGGUUUUGGAUGGACUCGCGGCCUAUCAGCUUGCUGGUGAGGUAAUGGCUCACCAAGGCGACGACGGGUAGCCGGCCUGAGAGGGUGACCGGCCACACUGGGACUGAGACACGGCCCAGACUCCUACGGGAGGCAGCAGUGGGGAAUAUUGCACAAUGGGCGCAAGCCUGAUGCAGCGACGCCGCGUGAGGGAUGACGGCCUUCGGGUUGUAAACCUCUUUCAGUAGGGAAGAAGCGAAAGUGACGGUACCUGCAGAAGAAGCACCGGCUAACUACGUG